rnacentral:rRNA from 1 species
GUUAAGCGACUAAGCGUACACGGUGGAUGCCCUGGCAGUCAGAGGCGAUGAAGGACGUGCUAAUCUGCGAAAAGCGUCGGUAAGGUGAUAUGAACCGUUACAGCCGGCGAUGUCCGAAUGGGGAAACCCAGUGCAAUUCGUUGCACUAUCGUUAACUGAAUACAUAGGUUAACGAGGCGAACCGGGGGAACUGAAACAUCUAAGUACCCCGAGGAAAAGAAAUCAACCGAGAUUCCCCCAGUAGCGGCGAGCGAACGGGGAGCAGCCCAGAGUCUGAAUCAGCUUGUGUGUUAGUGGAACGGUCUGGAAAGUCCGACGGUACAGGGUGAUAGUCCCGUACACCAAAAUGCACAGGUUGUGAACUCGAAGAGUAGGGCGGGACACGUGGUAUCCUGUCUGAAUAUGGGGGGACCAUCCUCCAAGGCUAAAUACUCCUGACUGACCGAUAGUGAACCAGUACCGUGAGGGAAAGGCGAAAAGAACCCCGGCGAGGGGAGUGAAAAAGAACCUGAAACCGUGUACGUACAAGCAGUGGGAGCACCUUCGGGUGUGACUGCGUACCUUUUGUAUAAUGGGUCAGCGACUUAUAUUCUGUAGCAAGGUUAACCGUAUAGGGGAGCCGCAGGGAAACCGAGUCUUAACUGGGCGUUAAGUUGCAGGGUAUAGACCCGAAACCCGGUGAUCUAGCCAUGGGCAGGUUGAAGGUUGGGUAACACUAACUGGAGGACCGAACCGACUAAUGUUGAAAAAUUAGCGGAUGACUUGUGGCUGGGGGUGAAAGGCCAAUCAAACCGGGAGAUAGCUGGUUCUCCCCGAAAGCUAUUUAGGUAGCGCCUCGUGAAUUCAUCUUCGGGGGUAGAGCACUGUUUCGGCUAGGGGGUCAUCCCGACUUACCAACCCGAUGCAAACUACGAAUACCGAAGAAUGUUAUCACGGGAGACACACGGCGGGUGCUAACGUCCGUCGUGAAGAGGGAAACAACCCAGACCGCCAGCUAAGGUCCCAAAGUCACAGUUAAGUGGGAAACGAUGUGGGAAGGCACAGACAGCCAGGAUGUUGGCUUAGAAGCAGCCAUCAUUUAAAGAAAGCGUAAUAGCUCACUGGUCGAGUCGGCCUGCGCGGAAGAUGUAACGGGGCUAAACUGUGCACCGAAGCUGCGGCAGCGACACUUAGGUGUUGUUGGGUAGGGGAGCGUUCUGUAAGCCUGCGAAGGUGGCCUGUGAGGGUUGCUGGAGGUAUCAGAAGUGCGAAUGCUGACAUAAGUAACGAUAAUGCGGGUGAAAAGCCCGCACGCCGGAAGACCAAGGGUUCCUGUCCAACGUUAAUCGGGGCAGGGUGAGUCGACCCCUAAGGCGAGGCCGAAAGGCGUAGUCGAUGGGAAACAGGUUAAUAUUCCUGUACUUGGUGUUACUGCGAAGGGGGGACGGAGAAGGCUAUGUUAGCCGGGCGACGGUUGUCCCGGUUUAAGCAUGUAGGCGGAGGUUCCAGGUAAAUCCGGUACCUUUUUAACGCUGAGGUGUGAUGACGAGGCACUACGGUGCUGAAGUAACAAAUGCCCUGCUUCCAGGAAAAGCCUCUAAGCAUCAGGUAACAUUGAAUCGUACCCCAAACCGACACAGGUGGUCAGGUAGAGAAUACCAAGGCGCUUGAGAGAACUCGGGUGAAGGAACUAGGCAAAAUGGUGCCGUAACUUCGGGAGAAGGCACGCUGAUAUGUAGGUGAAGCCCCUGCGGGUGGAGCUGAAAUCAGUCGAAGAUACCAGCUGGCUGCAACUGUUUAUUAAAAACACAGCACUGUGCAAACACGAAAGUGGACGUAUACGGUGUGACGCCUGCCCGGUGCCGGAAGGUUAAUUGAUGGGGUUAUCCGUAAGGAGAAGCUCUUGAUCGAAGCCCCGGUAAACGGCGGCCGUAACUAUAACGGUCCUAAGGUAGCGAAAUUCCUUGUCGGGUAAGUUCCGACCUGCACGAAUGGCGUAAUGAUGGCCAGGCUGUCUCCACCCGAGACUCAGUGAAAUUGAACUCGCUGUGAAGAUGCAGUGUACCCGCGGCAAGACGGAAAGACCCCGUGAACCUUUACUAUAGCUUGACACUGAACAUUGAGCCUUGAUGUGUAGGAUAGGUGGGAGGCUUUGAAGCGUGGACGCCAGUCUGCGUGGAGCCAACCUUGAAAUACCACCCUUUAAUGUUUGAUGUUCUAACGUUGGCCCCUUAUCGGGGUUGCGGACAGUGUCUGGUGGGUAGUUUGACUGGGGCGGUCUCCUCCCAAAGAGUAACGGAGGAGCACGAAGGUUAGCUAAUCCUGGUCGGACAUCAGGAGGUUAGUGCAAUGGCAUAAGCUAGCUUGACUGCGAGCGUGACGGCGCGAGCAGGUGCGAAAGCAGGUCAUAGUGAUCCGGUGGUUCUGAAUGGAAGGGCCAUCGCUCAACGGAUAAAAGGUACUCCGGGGAUAACAGGCUGAUACCGCCCAAGAGUUCAUAUCGACGGCGGUGUUUGGCACCUCGAUGUCGGCUCAUCACAUCCUGGGGCUGAAGUAGGUCCCAAGGGUAUGGCUGUUCGCCAUUUAAAGUGGUACGCGAGCUGGGUUUAGAACGUCGUGAGACAGUUCGGUCCCUAUCUGCCGUGGGCGCUGGAGAAUUGAGGGGGGCUGCUCCUAGUACGAGAGGACCGGAGUGGACGCAUCACUGGUGUUCGGGUUGUCAUGCCAAUGGCAUUGCCCGGUAGCUAAAUGCGGAAGAGAUAAGUGCUGAAAGCAUCUAAGCACGAAACUUGCCCCGAGAUGAGUUCUCCCUGAGACUUUAAGUCUCCUGAAGGAACGUUAAAGACGAUGACGUUGAUAGGUCGGGUGUGUAAGCGUAGCGAUACGUUGAGCUAACCGAUACUAAUGAACCGUGAGGCUUAACC